UGAGGAAUAUUGGUCAAUGGUCGCUAGACUGAACCAGCCAAGUAGCGUGCGGGAUGAAGGCCCUCCGGGUCGUAAACCGCUUUUAGACGGGGAUAAAAGGGCGUACGUGUACGCCGUGUUGCAUGUACCGUCAGAAAAAGGACCGGCUAAUUCCGUGCCAGCAGCCGCGGUAAUACGGAAGGUCCGGGCGUUAUCCGGAUUUAUUGGGUUUAAAGGGAGCGUAGGCGGACUUUCAAGUCAGUGGUAAAAUCGUGUGGCUCAACCAUACCUCGCCAUUGAAACUGGAAGUCUGGAGUGCACACAGGGUGCCGGAAUUCAUGGUGUAGCGGUGAAAUGCUUAGAUAUCAUGAAGAACUCCGAUCGCGAAGGCAAGUGCCCGGGGUGCAACUGACGCUGAGGCUCGAAGGUGCGGGUAUCGAAACAGGAUUAGAUACC
rnacentral:rRNA from 1 species